GGACCCGCACAAGUAGUGGAGCAUGUGGUUUAAUUCGAAGAUACGCGCAGAACCUUACCAACACUUGACAUGUUCGUCGCGACUUUAAGAGAUUAAAGUUUUCGGUUCGGCCGGACGAAACACAGGUGCUGCAUGGCUGUCGUCAGCUCGUGUCGUGAGAUGUUGGGUUAAGUCCCGCAACGAGCGCAACCCUCACUUUUAGUUGCCAUCAUUUAGUUGGGCACUCUGAAAGAACUGCCAGUGAUAAGCUGGAGGAAGGUGGGGAUGACGUCAAGUCCUCAUGGCCCUUACGUGUUGGGCUACACACGUGCUACAAUGAUAUCUACAACAGGAAGCAAAACCGCGAGGUUUAGCAAAUCCUUAAAAGAUAUCUCAGUUCGGAUUGCACUCUGCAACUCGAGUGCAUGAAGCUGGAAUUACUAGUAAUCG
rnacentral:rRNA from 1 species